rnacentral:snoRNA from 1 species
UCAGGUGUGGCUGAUGACAGCACUGCUGCUGAGAUGCUGUGAUUGCUCGGUUUCAAAGUAAAUGCCCUGAUGCCCUCUGG